UACGAAGGGGGCUAGCGUUGCUCGGAAUGACUGGGCGUAAAGGGCGCGUAGGCGGAUUGCUUUGUCGGGCGUGAAAUUCCAGGGCUUAACCUUGGGGCUGCGUUCGAGACGGGUGAUCUUGAGUUCGGAAGAGGGUCGUGGAAUUCCCAGUGUAGAGGUGAAAUUCGUAGAUAUUGGGAAGAACACCGGUGGCGAAGGCGGCGAUCUGGGUCGAUACUGACGCUGAGGUGCGAAAGCGUGGGGAGCAAACAGG
rnacentral:rRNA from 1 species